AGAGUUUGAUCCUGGCUCAGGACGAACGCUGGCGGCGUGCCUAAUACAUGCAAGUAGAACGCUGAAGAGAGGAGCUUGCUCUUCUUGGAUGAGUUGCGAACGGGUGAGUAACGCGUAGGUAACCUGCCUUGUAGCGGGGGAUAACUAUUGGAAACGAUAGCUAAUACCGCAUAACAAUGGAUGACACAUGUCAUUUAUUUGAAAGGGGCAAAUGCUCCACUACAAGAUGGACCUGCGUUGUAUUAGCUAGUAGGUGAGGUAACGGCUCACCUAGGCGACGAUACAUAGCCGACCUGAGAGGGUGAUCGGCCACACUGGGACUGAGACACGGCCCAGACUCCUACGGGAGGCAGCAGUAGGGAAUCUUCGGCAAUGGGGGCAACCCUGACCGAGCAACGCCGCGUGAGUGAAGAAGGUUUUCGGAUCGUAAAGCUCUGUUGUAAGUCAAGAACGAGUGUGAGAGUGGAAAGUUCACACUGUGACGGUAGCUUACCAGAAAGGGACGGCUAACUACGUGCCAGCAGCCGCGGUAAUACGUAGGUCCCGAGCGUUGUCCGGAUUUAUUGGGCGUAAAGCGAGCGCAGGCGGUUUGAUAAGUCUGAAGUUAAAGGCUGUGGCUCAACCAUAGUUCGCUUUGGAAACUGUCAAACUUGAGUGCAGAAGGGGAGAGUGGAAUUCCAUGUGUAGCGGUGAAAUGCGUAGAUAUAUGGAGGAACACCAGUGGCGAAGGCGACGAUCUGGCGCAUAACUGACGCUCAGUCCCGAAAGCGUGGGGAGCAAAUAGGAUUAGAUACCCUAGUAGUCCACGCCGUAAACGAUGAGUACUAAGUGUUGGGGGUCAAACCUCAGUGCUGCAGUUAACGCAAUAAGUACUCCGCCUGAGUAGUACGUUCGCAAGAAUGAAACUCAAAGGAAUUGACGGGGGCCCGCACAAGCGGUGGAGCAUGUGGUUUAAUUCGAAGCAACGCGAAGAACCUUACCAGGUCUUGACAUCCCGAUGACCGGCCCGUAACGGGGCCUUCUCUUCGGAGCAUUGGAGACAGGUGGUGCAUGGUUGUCGUCAGCUCGUGUCGUGAGAUGUUGGGUUAAGUCCCGCAACGAGCGCAACCCCUAUUGUUAGUUGCCAUCAUUCAGUUGGGCACUCUAGCGAGACUGCCGGUAAUAAACCGGAGGAAGGUGGGGAUGACGUCAAAUCAUCAUGCCCCUUAUGACCUGGGCUACACACGUGCUACAAUGGACAGAGCAGAGGGAAGCGAAGCCGCGAGGUGGAGCGAAACCCAUAAAACUGUUCUCAGUUCGGACUGCAGUCUGCAACUCGACUGCACGAAGAUGGAAUCGCUAGUAAUCGCGAAUCAGCAUGUCGCGGUGAAUACGUUCUCGGGCCUUGUACACACCGCCCGUCACACCAUGAGAGUCGGUAACACCCGAAGCCGGUGGCCUAACCGCAAGGAAGGAGCUGUCUAAGGUGGGACUGAUGAUUGGGGUGAAGUCGUAACAAGGUAUCCCUACGGGAACGUGGGGAUG
rnacentral:rRNA from 1 species